rnacentral:rRNA from 1 species
AGUGAACGCUGGCGGUAGGCCUAACACAUGCAAGUCGAACGGCAGCACAGUAAGAGCUUGCUCUUACGGGUGGCGAGUGGCGGACGGGUGAGGAAUACAUCGGAAUCUACUUUUUCGUGGGGGAUAACGUAGGGAAACUUACGCUAAUACCGCAUACGACCUACGGGUGAAAGCAGGGGAUCUUCGGACCUUGCGCGAUUGAAUGAGCCGAUGUCGGAUUUGCUAGUUGGCGGGGUAAAGGCCAACCAAGGCGACGAUCCGUAGCUGGUCUGAGAGGCUGAUCAGCCACACUGGAACUGAGACACGGUCCAGACUCCUACGGGAGGCAGCAGUGGGGAAUAUUGGACAAUGGGCGCAAGCCUGAUCCAGCCAUACCGCGUGGGUGAAGAAGGCCUUCGGGUUGUAAAGCCCUUUUGUUGGGAAAGAAAAGCAGCAGGUUAAUACCCCGCUGUUCUGACGGUACCCAAAGAAUAAGCACCGGCUAACUUCGUG